GUAGGAUUUAUAUAGGCAGAUGGCCCCCGAUUUUUGAAAAAUAAAAAGAUCGAUGACAGUGUUAAAAAUCGACAGUUUUCAUUAAUCUAAACUUUAAACUAACGAACUGUGUCGUUUUUAAUAUUAACACAUUCUCAAUAUUGAUGUAAAAUGAGUUCAAAGUACGAACGGUACUGGCAUUUUGUGUUAAAACUGCUGAAUUCGGCCAUUUCAGACUCAGAAUUCGCUUAUUAGCAACCCUUGCUUUGAUUAACAAUUUAUAACAGCUAUUACAUUUGUUAAUUCCAUUUAAUAUUUUCCUAACCAGAAAUCAAAGCAAGGGUUGCUAAUAAACGAAUUUUGGAAAAAAUGAUAAUAUUUGUCUGGCCUUUUUCACGUAUACGAGUAGCCUCCCUUGAAGCUAGGUGCUCGUUGCCAGGCAAUAUUAUAGGUGGCGCCACUGUCAACAUGUGGAUGUGAAAACGAAAGUAGAUUAUUUAUCGUGGAAUAAUUACAACUGUUUACCCUUCUACGUGGAAUUUAUAUGGUAAUGGUAUGAAUUGAGAUGAUUUAUUUAGUUACCUUCAACUGGUCAGUGGUCAACAAGAGAGUAUUAUGGUGUGUCUUGAAGCAUUGAAUGCCCCAAAACAACCAGUAUGAUAAGAAGGCCAGAGUAUACAGCUUCCCAAAAUGUUGAAAGACUAAUCUGUUUUCUAAGGACUUGUAUACCAUUUAGAUUGAAAUUAGCCAUGGACAAUGAAUUUGGAGGUGCAUGCAGGAGCAUCAGAAAUUAUAGACUUGGAAUACAUAAUUUACAUAAUAUACAAGUAACAUUUACUGAAAAGUGACAAAUGUUUAUGUUAAUAAAGUGCAAUAUCCAUUUUUGUAACAUUUACAUGGGGGUAAUAGUUACAGUGUUGAAAGAGACUGCCAGUGUUACAUUUCAAUCUAAGUUACAAUGUGGAUGCUAAUUUAAAUUCUUGAUAGUCAAGUGUUUUUAAUAACUUAUAGAUACUAAUUAUUUAUCAAACUGUUUAAUUUAUCACAUUCCUACAUCAUUAUAUUACAUAAAAUGUUUGUGGUUAUAUAAUAUAUGUUUAUAUGGUAAUAAAUUUUGUUUCUGUGUAAAUAUCUUGGUUUUUGAAAAAUGAAAAUGAAACAUUCAGUGACCAUCUUCUGUCAACAAGUUAUUAUAUGAGAAAAAAAAGCUGAUAUAUACAGUCUAGAGUCUUCUAGUAAGCUGCGUAAUUAUGCUUGGAACUAGCUCCAUAUUUCCUUUCAUUUGAAGUCAUAAACUUUACUUCAUAUAAAAUAGCCAAGUAUCACAAUUGUAUGAAUACACAACUGAAAAAACACUGCAUUCAGUUUCUAAGGUAAUAGAACUUUAGCAUUUGGUUAUUACACAUAUUUGGCUUUCAAUAACUGGAAAGGUAAUAAAAGGAAUUUGUGAUUAUACACAAAAUAUGGAGAAGACUGAAAGAAGUAACUGAUCAUUCCAAUAAUAGCAGAAUACUUUAGCUUAUGAUUGUCAAAAUUCAUUGUAGAUUAGUAGAUGAUCUCUUUCUUUAAGGUGCCAGUAGGUUAAAUGUCAAUAUCACAGUGACCCUAAGACUGAAAUAUUUUAUUAUCGAAAGCUGAAUGAUACUUUUGCCCAUGGUCACCAGGCUUUAAGUCAUAACAGAUGAAUAAUUUGGGGUAAGUAGGUCAAAG